UACGGGGGGGGCAAGCGUUGUUCGGAAUUACUGGGCGUAAAGGGCACGUAGGCGGAUUUGUAAGUCAGGGGUGAAAUCCCGGGGCUCAACCUCGGAACUGCCUUUGAUACUGCAAAUCUCGAGUCCGGAAGAGGUGAGUGGAAUUCCUAGUGUAGAGGUGAAAUUCGUAGAUAUUAGGAGGAACACCAGUGGCGAAGGCGGCUCACUGGUCCGGUACUGACGCUGAGGUGCGAAAGCGUGGGGAGCAAACAGG
rnacentral:rRNA from 1 species